rnacentral:rRNA from 1 species
CCCUACGGGGCGCAGCAGUGAGGAAUAUUGGUCAAUGGUCGGGAGACUGAACCAGCCAAGCCGCGUGAGGGAUGAAGGUACAGAGUAUCGUAAACCUCUUUUGUCAGGGAACAAAGGCGGGGACGCGUCCCCGGAUGAGUGUACCUGAAGAAAAAGCAUCGGCUAACUCCGUGCCAGCAGCCGCGGUAAUACGUAGGGGGCGAGCGUUAUCCGGAUUUACUGGGUGUAAAGGGAGCGUAGACGGCGCGGCAAGUCUGAAGUGAAAGGCAGGGGCUUAACCCCUGAACUGCUUUGGAACCUGCCAU